rnacentral:rRNA from 1 species
GCGCAAGCGUUAUCCGGAAUUAUUGGGCGUAAAGAGCUCGUAGGCGGUUUGUCGCGUCUGCUGUGAAAACCCGAGGCUCAACCUCGGGCCUGCAGUGGGUACGGGCAGACUAGAGUGCGGUAGGGGAGAUUGGAAUUCCUGGUGUAGCGGUGGAAUGCGCAGAUAUCAGGAGGAACACCGAUGGCGAAGGCAGAUCUCUGGGCCGUAACUGACGCUGAGGAGCGAAAGGGUGGGGAGCAAACAGGCUUAGAUACCCUGGUAGUCCACCCCGUAAACGUUGGGAACUAGUUGUGGGGGCCUUUCCACGGUCUCCGUGACGCAGCUAACGCAUUAAGUUCCCCGCCUGGGGAGUACGGCCGCAAGGCUAAAACUCAAAGGAAUUGACGGGGACCCGCACAAGCGGCGGAGCGUGCGGAUUAAUUCGAUGCAACGCGAAGAACCUUACCAAGGCUUGACAUAUAGAGGAAAGUUCUGGAAACAGUUCCCCCGCAAGGUCUCUAUACAGGUGGUGCAUGGUUGUCGUCAGCUCGUGUCGUGAGAUGUUGGGUUAAGUCCCGCAACGAGCGCAACCCUCGUUCUAUGUUGCCAGCACGUAAUGGUGGGAACUCAUGGGAUACUGCCGGGGUCAACUCGGAGGAAGGUGGGGAUGACGUCAAAUCAUCAUG